AUAUGAGAUUUAUAUAUUUAAUAAAUAAAUUUAUUAAAAAAAUAAUUGAUAUAAGUCCAGAAACAAUACAAUGGUACAGAAGAAAGAAACAAGAAAAAUCAAAUCAAGCCAAACAUCUCACAGAAAGAAAUAAGAAUAUUGCCAAUUCAAACAAAAUUACAUAAUAAUUAAUUGACUAUACAGUACUAUGAAGAAGCUAUAGAAUUAGAAUCCUAGGAAAACCAUAUAAAGAGCAUACAAUAAUUAAUUAAUUUAGUAUUAAUGCUAAAACAAGCUAAGCAGCUUUAGCUGUACAACUCAGGGAACAAGAUAGAUCUUGCAAAACACUUGCUAGAUCUUCAUCCAACUCACCUUCUUCUUGGAAGUCACUAGUCCCUCUUUCAGAACCCAGUUCUUGAUUUGCAUGCAAACACUCUCUGGCUUGUGAUCUUUGUUUCUUUAUAGCUUCCCUCCUGCGAUCAUGAUCUACCAUCUCUUUAGAGAGAGGGAGAUGAUGGGUGAUCCCAGAAACAGAAAGAGGAAGGCCGUAGCUUCCCUGGAGGUUAAGCAUGGACUGCAUUUUCUUUGAAGGAAGAUGAUCAGAGAAAGGUAAAAAGAGGGGAAAGGAUUAGUAGAAAUCCUUCUGCUAAUAAUUGAUCUCUAUUUUUCUAAUAUCCAUAUGAUCUCCCUCCCUCUCUCUCUCUCUC
rnacentral:misc_RNA from 1 species